AUAAAGAUUUAUUUCAUUAACACUAUAAUGGAAUGUUUUAUAAACUCUCACUGACAUUACAAAAUAAAUAUAAAAUUACAAAACUCCUUAAUUAUAAUAACUUAACUAAUAUUGUGGCGGGAUAUGUUCCUAUUGCAUAGCCCUGUUAAGAGUAACUAGUAUUAUUUAUUGUACGAGAGUAUUUCACUUUAGUUCUAUAAAAUACGCACGAAA